UGGAGAAAGGGGGAAAACCCUAGCUUGAUCAAUUAACAACAAAAUCAGUACGAUUAUGGAGGAUUCAUGUUACAAAUCGAAUGCUAGUGUCUAAAUACUCACUAAUCCCAGUGUUUUGAGCAUAAGGAUCGAAAGAAGAAGGAGCUAGUUCCGGAUCACAAACAAAGGCACAAGAUCGAGGAUCGAAAGAAGAAGGAGCUAGUUCCGGAUCACAAACAAAGGCACAAGAUCGAGGUAAAGCACCCGUAUGAUUGUUAUUGUGUCGCUCGGAUACGAACACACCUUGAUCACCCGUGAUGCGCUUCCGCAAUUUUUGUAGUAACCUUAUUAGUUAAAGGCUUUUGUUGAAGUUAGUAGUGUUGAAGUUUUAAGUUUUAACUAGAUGUUUGUGAAUAUUUAAGUAACUUAAACUUGAUGUUUUGAAACGGUAGUUUAAAUGUUAAGGUCUUUCUUAUGUU